GACGUAGGGCGCGAGCGUUGUCCGGAUUUAUUGGGCGUAAAGAGCUCGUAGGCGGCUUGUUGCGUCGGCUGUGAAAACCCAUGGCUCAACCGUGGGCUUGCGGUCGAUACGGGCAUCACUGGAGUUCGGCAGGGGAGACUGGAAUUCCUGGUGUAGCGGUGAAAUGCGCAGAGUAUCAGGAGGAACACCGGUGGCGAAGGCGGGAUCUCCGUGGGCCGAUGACUGACGCUGGAGGAGCGAAAGCGUGGGGA
rnacentral:rRNA from 1 species